rnacentral:rRNA from 1 species
UUGGAGGGCAAGUCUGGUGCCAGCAGCCGCGGUAAUUCCAGCUCCAAUAGCGUAUAUUAAAGUUGUUGCAGUUAAAAAGCUCGUAGUUGAAUUUCGGGAUCAGAUUGUCGGUCGUGCCUCGGUACGCACUGGUAUUAUUGGUUCCUACCUUCUGAAAAACCGCGAUGUCUUUAAUUUGGUGUCGUGGGGAAUCAGGACUGUUACUUUGAAAAAAUUAGAGUGUUUAAAGCAGGCUUACGCUUGAAUACAUUAGCAUGGAAUAAUGAAAUAGGACGUUUGAUUCUAUUUUGUUGGUUUCUAGGAUUGACGUAACGAUUAAUAGGGAUAGUUGGGGGCAUUAGUAUUCAAUUGUCAGAGGUGAAAUUCUUGGAUUUAUUGAAGACUAACUACUGCGAAAGCAUUUGCCAAGGAUGUUUUCAUUAAUCAAGAACGAAAGUUAGGGGAUCGAAGACGAUCAGAUACCGUCGUAGUCUUAACCCUAAACUAUGCCGACUAGGGAUCGGAUGAUGUUAAUUUUUUAAUGACUCAUUCGGCGCCUUACGGGAAACCAAAGUGUUUGGGUUC